rnacentral:rRNA from 1 species
UACGAAGGGGGCUAGCGUUGUUCGGAAUUACUGGGCGUAAAGGGCGCGUAGGCGGUGUGUCAAGUCAGGCGUGAAAGCCCCGGGCUCAACCUGGGAACCGCGCUUGAGACUGGCACGCUCGAGUUCGGGAGAGGAUGGUGGAAUUCCCAGUGUAGAGGUGAAAUUCGUAGAUAUUGGGAAGAACACCGAUGGCGAAGGCAGCCAUCUGGACCGACACUGACGCUGAGGUGCGAAAGCGUGGGGAGCAAACAGGGAUUAAGAAACC